rnacentral:tRNA from 1 species
AAUGAGAUGCCUGAUAAUUAAAGGGGUAUAUUGAUGUUAUACAUAUGAAGAAUUUUCCUUCUCUCAUUU